UUAAUUAGGAGCUGGAAUGAAAGAGGCGACGAAAUCUAGACUAUUUAAGUUUUAAUAUAAAUUGACAAGCGGGUCAAAAGGCCCGCAUGGGCCAGGGGGACGAUAAGACCCUAUAAAACUUUACUUUCGGGCCGGUACCCGGCGGGAUGUGAGGGGUCUGAGAGUUUAACUGGGGCGGUUAUUAUAGAAACAAUUAUACAUGAAAUAUAUUAUAUAGAUUGGUAGAACUCUCUAGAGAAAUAGAACAAGUUACUUUAGGGAUAACAGCGUGAUCCCCCCAGAGAGUCCUGAUUGGCGGGGGGGCUUACGACCUCGAUGUUGAAUUGGGGUUUCCUAUAUAAGCAAAUAUAUAUAUAGAUAGUCUGUUCGACUAUUAAACUCCC
rnacentral:rRNA from 1 species